rnacentral:lncRNA from 1 species
GGAGGGAGUCGGGGGAGAGCUACAGCAGCACCUGCAUGGCUGAGCUCUGGGGAGGUGACAUCCUAGGAGCCACAUGUGCUAGUCUCUCUUCCCCAGGCUCUUAUGUCAGGGAAUCCUCUCAACGUUCCUUAUAGAUGUUCAUUAAUGAUCCAACGUGGGAAGACAGAUCACAUGGUGUUCUCCUGCUGAUUGUUCAUUGGGAAGCCUCACGAACUAACUUGACCUGAAGGGUUCUGUGGAGAAACUUACGAGGGGUCUGUGAGAAGCAUUGUGAGUUUGGAGAAGAAUCUUGCUCCAGAAGAAUGUUUUCACCCUUGGAUGUUUUUCUAGCAAAAUCUGAGAGCAGAAUGAAGAACUUGGACUGAUUAUUGAUGUAACACACACUCGCCACUAAUACAAACCAGAGGCCUACCUCGGAGAUCUUGCGGGUUCUGUUCCAGGUCACUGAAUAAAGUGAAUAUCGCAAUAUAAACAUUCCCUUUUAUGCCCCCCCUCCCCUGGCUCACCCCCUCCAGGUGCCCUACAAGCCUCCCAAGAUGCGACUCUGGACCCUUGGGCACAUACGUCCUGCCCUCGUGGAGCAGCGACCCAGUGCUCACGUGCUCCCACCGCUCUCCUGCCCUGUGAUCGACGCUUCCAGUGGAUUUUUCUUGUGUGCUUUUGGAUGGAUGGCGAUGUUUAGAGAGGGCAGAAACAGACCAGGUGGAUUGCGGGAGGCCCUGGCAGGCGCCUCAAGUUAAUGUUUAUGAAGAGAUGUUUUUCCAAA